CGGAGAUAUUCACGGAGUACCUUUCGGAUAGGGGACGAAGCAGCUGCAUCUGGGCUUGAGCGAGAGACCGGCGGACCAGUGAAUAUCGAAGGCGUCUCUCUCUCUCUCUCUCUCUCUCUCUCUCUCUCUCUCUCUCUCUCUCUCUCUCUCUCUCUUUCCCUCCCUCAUUGUGGGACGUUCCGCCGGGAAAGGGUGCGCCAGAAGCCCAGCCCAGGACACAGACGGGACGCCCGACUCCGUUUCGCCAGAGUACUGGACACGGGCGGCUCGGCGGGGGGGGUGUGAGAGGUCAGACCCGUAUCUGACGGCACCGGGGGUGGGUGGGGUGGGGGUUGGGGGUCUCUCGCUGGCUGGCGGCGGCGGGCACGGGACACGGGACUAACGAGCGGCCCAUGGGGGGGCAGGGCCACGUUGACGAGUUUCGGGAGCCCCGCCUCUCCUCUGCGCUGAAAUCGCCGCCUCUCCUCCCGCUCCCUGACCGCGUCCGCUCCCCCGAUUCCCGCCCCUUCGUCUCCAGCGGGGGGUGAGCGGCGCGCGGGACCGACCGAGGUUACGACCGAGGGACGACCGCAACUCGACCGCGCGCUCUUCCGGAGCCUCUGACUUUCCUUUCUCCUCUUUCUCUUUCUCUCCGCCUUUUUAUUCCCCGCCUUCCGCCUCCCGGCUUCCGCAAGGAUGAACGUCUCCCUUUUUCCCUGCCGAAGGACGGUCGCGUGGUGACCGCGGGGGGGGAGGGGGGGCGGAUAGGGGGAAGGCUGGAGGUCGCGGUCGCGGUCGUGGCCGUGGUCGUGAGACCGGAUCCAGGACCAUGUCGUGGAAGAGGAACUACUUUGCGUCCGGCAGCAGCGGUAUGCAGGGCAUCUUCACGCCGCGGAACAUGACGUCCAUCGCCCCCAGCAAGGGCCUCAGCAACGAGCCGGGACAGAACAGCUGCUUCCUCAACAGCGCGCUGCAGGUCCUGUGGCACCUGGAUAUCUUUCGUAGGAGUUUUCGUCAGCUGACCACACACAAGUGCAUGGAGGACUCCUGUAUCUUCUGUGCUCUCAAGAGCAUAUUUGCGCAGUUCCAGUUCAGCAGCGAGAAGGUGCUCCCCUCCGACGCCCUGCGCAGCGCUCUGGCCAAGACCUUCCAGGACGAGCAGCGCUUCCAGCUGGGCAUCAUGGACGACGCGGCCGAGUGCUUCGAGAACCUGCUGAUGCGGAUCCACUUCCACAUCUCGGAUGAGACGCAGGAGGACAUCUGCACCGCCAAGCACUGCAUCCCGCACCAGAAGUUCGCCAUGACGCUCUUCGAGCAGUGUGUGUGUAACAGCUGUGGGGCCACGUCAGACCCUCUACCCUUCAUACAGAUGGUCCACUACAUCUCCACCACCUCCCUCUGUAACCAAGCCGUCCGCAUGCUGGAGUGCCGGGAGAAGCCCACGCCGGACAUGUUCGGGGAGCUGCUCCGCACCGCCAGCACCAUGGGCGACCUGCGCAAUUGUCCCAGUAACUGUGGGGAGAUGUUGCGUAUUCGCCGGGUGCUGAUGAACUCCCCAGAGAUCAUCACCAUAGGCCUGGUGUGGGACUCGGAGAACUCCGACCUGGCUGAAGAUGUCAUCCACAGCCUGGGCACCUGCCUCCGUCUGGGCGAUCUUUUCUUCCGGGUGACGGAUGACAGGGCCAAGCAGUCAGAGCUCUACCUUGUGGGCAUGGUGUGUUACUACGGCAAGCAUUACUCUACCUUCUUCUUCCAAACCAAGAUCCGCAAGUGGAUGUACUUUGACGACGCACAUGUCAAAGAGAUCGGGCCCAAGUGGAAGGAUGUGGUCUCCCGGUGUAUCAAGGGACACUACCAGCCCCUGCUGCUGCUCUACGCUGACCCCCGGGGGACGCCGGUGGCACUGCAGGACCUGCCCACUCACCUCGACCUGCACCACUGCAGCAAGGCUGGCUACGACAGCGAAGACUCAGGGCGGGAGCCGUCCAUCUCCAGCGACACGCGCACGGACUCCUCGGCGGACAGCUACACGCACCGGCGCUCGCACCCGCACCACGAGUCCAUGGCCAGCCGCUUCUCCUCGGACUCGCAGGGCACCGUCGUCUGUCACCCCGACGACGACGACAAGGGCUCCCAGAGCAGCAUGGACGCUCCAGGGGAGACUCUGAAAGACCAGCAGACCCCUCGGUCCACACCCAAGCCCUGCCCGUCGGGCCGGCUGAGGGACUUCAAGGACCCGGGGCCCAUGGCGCACAGCCGGCCCCUGUCGUCCUCCUCCAGCUCGGGGGUGGGCAGCUCGGAGCCCGGGGCGCGGGCCCACGACUGGGAGGACGAGAGCACCAGCAGCGAGUCCAAGUCCAGCUCCUCCGGGGGGCGCUACCGCCCGGCCUGGAGGCCCCGCCGCGAGGCCCUGAACAUCGACAGCAUCUUCAGCCGGGAGCGGCCCCGGCAGGCUGGGAGCGGGCCCCCAGGGGCCAUGGCCCUGCCGGAGGACGCCGGCGCGCAGGGGGUGGGGACGGGACUCGGGACGGGGACGGGGGCGGGGCGGGCCGGGGCAGGGCCGGGAUGCGUCCUGACGCCCGUCGCCAGCGUCGUGGAGCGCUGCCCGCCGCCCCCGCCGCCCUUGAGGGGGCUCGACCCCCCGCCCCGCCUGAUUCAGAGGAUGGAGAGUGGCUACGAGAGCAGCGAGAGGAACAGCAAUAGCCCUGUCAGCAUGGAUAUGCCCCUUGCUGAGGCAAACAGAGCCACCCCUCUCAGGGACGCUGCGGUGAAGAAACCUUUGACUCCUGUCCCGUCCUGGCGCAGUGUCCCCAAAUCCAAGAGCAGCAGUGCCAUCCUGCAGGACAACAGAACGCCCACACCCUCCUGGAACAGCAGCCACGUCAACCUCGCCGGUGAAGGCCGCAGCGAGCUGGACGAGCUGCAGGAGGAGGUGGCUCGCCGCGCGCGGCAGCAGGAGCUGCAGAGGGAGAGGGAGAAGGAGAGAGAGGUCGCCAUGGGCUUCAACCCCAGACCCAGCAAGUACAUGGACCUGGAUGAGCUACAGCACCAGGGUAAACACCGCACUACACCAACACCUACGAGAGAGAGAGGGGUGGAGGGACAGAAGAAAGGGAAAGAUAAAGGUAGAGACGGACACAGAGAUAGAAAGACAGAGACGGAGAUAGAGUGAGAGAAAAAAAAGGGAGAGAAGAGAUGGUAAGGGAGAGGAAGAGCCAGAGAGAUCAGCAGUUGAAAAGAGACAGCUUUAUGCUUCUCCCAUCUUGUAGAAGAUAUAUUUCAGUUAAUUAAAAAAAUUAGCUGAUUUUGCUGAUCAAUGGGAAAGAGCUUCCAGCGGCCAAAAGCCCCACUUACUGGACAGUAUGUACCUCAGCCCCACCACUUGAGGGACAAUGUUAGAAGUGUUUACAUUUAAAAAUGCUUUUCUAAUUAUUAAAUAUAGAGCCUGUUUAUUAUUUUGCUGUUAAAGUAACCAUUCGGAUAACUAGAGUGAAUGGUCUUCAGUUAAAAUUGUUUCACUACAGUACUGCUUGUAUUUAUGUAUUGUCAAUAUAUAGUCCAUGUAUGUCAUGUCAGUAAAGCGUGUUGAAUCGAAUUAAUGAGAGAGGAAUAAGCGCAGAGGGUAUGGAAAGAAAGAGAGAAACUGCGUUAGAGAGAGGUAGGUGAGACUACAGGGAGGAAGAGGAUCUGGCAGAUAGCUCCAGGUAAUGCAGAGCCGGAGCGAGAGGAAGGGGGCGGGUGCGGCUCAGAGGAGGUGAAGGCUGCAGCUGAUUGGGUGAGGGAGCUGUGACAGUUGGCGGCACCAGUCUCGUCUGCCCGUCGGCCGCGCCAUUAGACCGAGCUGAAGUCUCGUGAGUCUCAGUCAGUGUGGGGUUCCAGAAAAGAGGGCAGGGCGGGGUGUGACCUGGUAGCCUGGUCAUGUACAGGACGGUCCUCUCCGUUCGACGGAGGUACUGUUGGUCUGCACUUUACGCAUUGGGUAGCUACAUACUGUGUUGUAAGCAACAGCCGAGAAAACAAGUAACAUGGAGCCCUAUCCACUAUGAAGGGAAAUACAGAACAUACAGAAAUACACAAACAUGUACACAUAUGCCUACACAGACUGUACACACGUGACACUAGCACAACAUGUGCUUAUUGGUAUGGGGCCUGCUUGCCAGUGGGCGGGGCCGUGGGACACGGUUGUGGGAGGGGCAGUAGGCGGGGUUUAUUUCCAGGUCUGUUGGAGGGGGUGUGUAUGCACGGGGGCGUGGCUGUGGGCGGGGAGGCGGGACGGGCUCGUCCCCGGGGGCCCCGCUCACAGCCGCGCACCCCGUUGCCUUGGUGUCUUGCUCCGCAGGGACGGGGGACAGCUCUGAGCGCUGCCUCGCCGAGGCCGACGCCCUGCUAGAGCAGUCCCUGCGUCUCGAGCAGGGCUCGGACCUGGCGGCGGCGCUGUGCGUCUGCAACCAGGCUGUGUCCAAACUAAGACUUGCC